UCUCCGUAGGUGAACCUGCGGAGGGAUCAUUACAGAGUUCAUGCCCUACCGGGUAGAUCUCCCACCCUAUGUUAUUAUUACUUUGUUGCUUUGGCGGGCCGUUAGGCUCCGCCCCGACUACCGGCCCCGGCUGGUAAGGGGCCGCCAGAGGACCCAAAACCCUGAAUAUUAGUGUCGUCUGAGUACUAUAUAAUAGUUAAAACUUUCAACAACGGAUCUCUUGGUUCUG
rnacentral:misc_RNA from 1 species